GUAAACGUUGCGCACUAGGUGUGGGCGGCAUUCCACGUCGUCCGUGCCGCAGCUAACGCAUUAAGUGCCCCGCCUGGGUAGUACGGCCGCAAGGCUAAAUCUCAAAGGAAUUGACGGGGGCCCGCACAAGCGGCGGAGCAUGUGGCUUAAUUCGACGCAACGCGAAGAACCUUACCAAGGCUCGACAUACACCGGAAACACGUGGAGACACGUGCCCCCUUGUGGUCGGUGUACAGGUGGUGCAUGGCUGUCGUCAGCUCGUGUCGUGAGAUGUUGGGUUAAGUCCCGCAACGAGCGCAACCCUUGUUCUGUGUUGCCAGCGUGCCUUUCGGGGUGACGGGGACUCACAGGAGACUGCCGGGGUCAACUCGGAGGAAGGUGGGGACGACGUCAAGUCAUCAUGCCCCUUAUGUCUUGGGCUGCACACGUGCUACAAUGGCCGGUACAAUGAGCUGCGAUGCCGCGAGGUGGAGCGAAUCUCAAAAAGCCGGUCUCAGUUCGGAUUGGGGUCUGCAACUCGACCCCAUGAAGUCGGAGUCGCUAGUAAUCGCAGAUCAGCACUGCUGCGGUGAAUACGUUCCCGGGCCUUGUACACACCG
rnacentral:rRNA from 1 species